rnacentral:rRNA from 1 species
GACGAACGCUGUCGGCGUGCCUAAUACAUGCAAGUAGAACGAGUUGCGAACGGGUGAGUAACGCGUCGGUAAAUGCCUCAUAGCGGGGGAUAACUAUUGGAAAAGAUAGCUAAUACCGCAUACCAUCAGAUGUGCCCAGAUGGGAUUAGCUAAUUGGUGGGGUAAAGGCUCACAAAGGCGACGCUCCCUAGCUGGUCUGAGAGGAUGACCAGCCACACUGGAACUGAGACACGGUCCAGACUCCUACGGGAGGCAGCAGUGGGGAAUAUUGCACAAUGGGCGCAAGCCUGAUGCAGCCAUGCCGCGUGUAUGAAGAAGGCCUUCGGGUUGUAAAGUACUUUCAGCGGGGAGGCGUUACCCGCAGAAGAAGCACCGGCUAACUCCGUGCCAGCAGCCGCGGUAAUAC